GUAACUUCUGUUUUCUGACAUGUACUUGCAACAAUGUAAGUCAGCAUUUUUCAUUUAACACAAUAUGAAUUCAAGAAAACAGUAAAACAUUGGAGGAAAAAAAAAAAAAACAUGCACCAGAAGAAGUCAACAUGAGUGUCAGAGGAGUGGAGAAUGGAAGUCUCGUCUCUGUCUUAGAUGAUGCCUACUUGUCCUUCUUGACCAGUCAACAAUGGCCCCUUCUGAGUCUCCUCAUGUUUCAGGAUUUCCUCUUCAGCAUGCUGAACUACUCAACUCUGCUCGACCCCCACUGUCCAAUAUCCACUAUCCAACACAGGCUUGCUUCUGCCUCUGAGAAGCUACGUAAAUGUCGUGGAGGAUCAGAAAUGAGUAUGGAUGUGUGCAAAUACUUGAAAAAGUCUUUCUGCCCCUAUGAAGAGAGACUCUAUGAUAUGUUUUGAAAUAUGAGUAUGAUUUUACCAACGAGGCUCAAGAAGAACAUUCCAGAAAACUGAUGUAAAGUUGGAAAAAUUAAAAAUACACUAAGUAGUCCAUUGGGAUGAAGCACAUUGAUGAAGCAUCACUUACCACAGUGAUGGUAAGCAGGGCUGAAAGAUAUGUGGAGACAAUAUUAAUAACAUCCUUAAAUAUCAGGCUGUAAAUAGUAUUUACAGGAAAUGGUGAGCCACUGAAGACUUUGGUCAUGAGUGAAACAUUAUAAGAGAUCUGAAAAUAGUAAGAUUCCUUUAGGAGUUUCCAGAGGAAAUGUGGAUGCUGCUUUCUGUCUUAGUCUCUUUUGGCCUCCCUUGGUCAUUGGCUUCCAAGGUCUGAAUAGAGAUAAUCUACCCCAUUGUAAGUAAUUUAGAGAUUGAAGUUGAGAGUUUGAUCAAAGUAGAUCCUAAAAUAGAGUAAAAUCCUCAUAGCAGUUUUACUAUUACAUUUUCCAUUAUAAAGCUGAGUAAGCUGAGGAACAAACAGAUUAAAUAAUCUGCCCAAGGUCACACAGUUAAUGGCCAAUAGAAAAAAAGAGCGACAUAGACAAAAAGAGAGAGAGAUUGAGAAGUAAACCAAACAUGCAUUGUUGAAUUGUUAUAGAAGCAAAUACCAUUAGACAUUUGCUUAAUGUAUUAUAGCCUUGGGUAAAUUAAUUUAAAGCACUAGAAUUUUAAUGGAGAUUAAUGAGUUGAAUUAAUAGUUAGAAUUUUUAAAUAUAUGGCUGAAUAUUUUGGUAGUUUUAGUUAAAUAUUUCUCAACUGCCUUUUUAUAUUGACUGAACAGUUCUAAUCAAAAAAGAUUACACAGAAAUAUUUUAUGUAUUCUGAGUGUUCAAGGCUCUGGUUCCUUUUGAAGAACUAACAGAGAUAUUUGAAGCAUGAACAAAGAGAAAAGCCUUCUUACUUUAAUUGUAGACAAAUAAUUUUCCUUAAUACUUAGUGAACACUAAGUAGAUUUGGUUCUGGAAAGUAAGGACAAGAGUCAUUCUGCAACCUUUUUUUUUAAUGAAGAAAACAUUCUUAUUAAUGCAGCUUAGGCUUGUUUGCUCCAUUUAACAGCUAUUCAUGUGUAUUCUCAGAUGGUAUGUGUGAAAAAGUCAGUUAUAAAAAAUGUUGUAAGCACCUUAUUCAGAAUAAGGUAGCACCUUCCCUGGUGGCUCAGACAGUAAAGUGUCUGUCUACAAUGCGGGAGACCCGGGUUUGAUCCCUCGGUUGGGAAGAUCCCCUGGAGAAGGAAAUGGCAAUCCACUCCAGUACUAUUGCCUGGAAAAUCCCAUGGACAGAGGAGCCUGGUAGGCUACAGUCCAUGGGGUCGCAAAGAGUCAGACAUGACUGAGCGACUUCACUUCAUAGCAUUCCCUCCACCCCAUCAUAUCACUUACCUGCAUAAGGAUAAUUGUAGCUGUAUAGGUGCUCAAAUAAUUAAAAAUGGGAUAUCAUUCAGAGAAUGAUUAUUCAGGAAAAAGCAGUAAUAUUUUUUUCCUUCUAGUCUCCAAAGAGGGAAAAUUAUAAUUCAUAUAUAUAUAUAUACAUAUAUAUAUAUAUAUAUUUUUUUUUUUUUUUUUACUUCUUUCCUGGUAAACCAUUUAGCCUAAGAACAAAUGUUUCUUUUCUAUUCAUCUUUUGGCUAGUAUUUCCUCCAGAUACUUAAAGAGAUGGGUCACAUCCCCAUUAAUAUUGAUUUUGUCCCUUUCUUCGAGCUAGACCAUCAUGAGGUUAAACUUUUGCAUAAGUAUACCAAUAUGUAUAUACCUCAUUUUCUUAGAGCUAGAUCAUCAUAAGGUUAAUCUUUUGCCUAAGUAUACCGAUAUGUGUAUACUUCAUUUUCAUAAUUAAGCUGCAAAAUGUGUCACUUAGUCAUGGCUGGCUCAUUAUGACCCCAUGGACUAUAACCUACCAGGCUCCUCAGUACAUGGGAUUCUCCAGGCAAGAAUACUGGAGUGGGUUGCCAUUCCCUUCUCCUGAAAAUUAUGCUGCAAAAGUCCCCACAAACAAAAAACAGAAAAUGUGUGUGUGUAUUAAAACAUUAUUUGUUGAAUGAGAAACUAGGGAAACAUUUACAGAAAAAUCCGCUGGCCUCAAAAGUCAGAAAAUCUUAUUUUUCUAAAAGUUUUGAAGCUCUUGGGUUUCUGUGAAGAAGUUGCUCUAUAAUGUUCGUCUCUUUGUGACCCCAUGGACUGUAGCCUGCCAGUCUCCUCUAUCCGUGGGAUUCUCCAGUCCAGAAUACUGGGGUGGGUAGCCAUUAACUUCUCCAGGGGAUUUUUUCAACCCAGGAACUGAACCCAGGUCUCCCACAUUGCAGGUGGCUUCUUUACCAUCUGAGCCCCCAGUACUAUUCAGUUAUUAGGUAGCAUAUUCAUUAUACUUUUGUCAAACAAAUAAAAUAGACAUCAUAUAAUUCUUUUUAUCUCCU
ensembl:lncRNA